AAACUUUUACACUAUGUUAACGACUUAUGAGACGAUAUUAAGUAUAUUGUGGAAAAGAACAUCAUACUUCGACAUGUGUAAUAUAAUUUUAUAUCUAAAAGUAAUAUAGACAUAAUUUGAAGUUUCAAAGGCGUACUUAUUCAAAAGAAUAGAGAAUUAUAAACAGAAAGGUUAAUGAAGCUGAAAACAAUUUCUUUGGUGUUCUUCCGUUAAUUCGGGGUAUUCAUCAUGUGAAGGUUCGUCUUAUUCCAGUAUACUUAAAAAUACAUCAACAUUAACGGUGACAUUAAAAGAACAGGAAACGUUUCUGAAUUAUUUAGAAAACAAGAACCAAAUCAAGAUGGACUAUUACAAGUAUUCAAACAGAUCUCGUUAUACUGACAAGAAUUAUUAUUUCACAAGACAUGACGAAAGCAGGCACGGGGACUAUGAUAUAUUGCGAAUAAACCACGACGAGACUGCAAGACAGCGUGGAGAAUACAUUGAAGACUCGGAUGAUUAUGAAGAUUAUGGGAGGGAUCGAAAACCUCGUACACGUGCUUCGCGUGAAAGAAAACAACACGUGCGGGUAUUAAUAACGCAUUGGUCUGGAUGAAUAGGACAGGGCGUCUGUGACAAUCUACGUCUGGCAGUACAAGACAACUAUGAAGAAUCCGAUGUGUCGUUUGAGCAGAGGAAAGGCGAACUGAACUCUUUUGAAGUGUAUAUUAAUGAAAGCUUGUUGUAUUCAAGACUUCGUGACGGAGGAUAUCCAUACGAAGAUGAUAUGUUGCUAGCAAUCGAAAAGGCCAGACGUGGACAUGCAAUCAAACAAGUCCGGCACGGAAAGACUAUUUUCUGCACGAUUUUAUAGGAUUAAUGAUGUCACAGAUGCCCAGAGUGAAAACUUAAAACGGUUAAGGUUGCGGAUUGUUUUAACACAGUCCUGAAAAAAACUAGGACACAUUUCAAAUUAACAAAUGGUCGCCAUUUCCUUCUAAAACAUCAGUCAGUGUGUAUAUGCUUAAGAAUGGCAAUACCUGCGUUUUUAAAAAGGGGCCGUCUUAAAGAACAACGUCUCGGCUUUACAGUAUAAGAAGAUCCGUUAUAGAUAAUUUUACUAAAACAGAAAACAAUAUACCUCAUAUAUGUAUUUUAUCGAUUUGCAGUUAAAAUAAAGAUGGGACCAGACGACUCCCGUGUGUCAGUAACAACCUACAUGUAUAGAAUAGAACCUGUUACUCAUUCUUUUACACUUUGAAUAUAAAACUUUGGUAAAUGCAGGCUCGAGACAUUGUGUGAACGUGUUUUAAAACAUGAAAGGGUGAUAUAUGAUAGCAUGAUAAUAAGUUUGCAUGGCUUUUAAUGACGUUUUACGUCUAAAUUUCCAAGGACGUGAGACAGAUAUGUGCUAAUGGAAAACUUAUGCUAAUGUUAUGUAUAUGAUUCCACACAUCUUUUCUAUAACAUUUGCAUUUUUAUUGUAAAUAAACCCUAUUCAAUGCAUCUAUAUCUGGCAUAUGUUUAUAAUCUUUUAAAUGUACUAUCUUGUUAUAUCUUGAUCUGAAAAUUAAUAAAAGCUGAAACAAGUUAA